AGUGUUGCCAAAGUUUCUGUUGUUUCAGUGUGUCUGCAGGAAACAUUUGAGGCUGUUAUUGGCGGUUCUGUUCUCCUGCCGUGUUCUUCCACUAAACAUGAUCAUAAACUUGAAGACACUGAUGUGCAUUGGAGACACAAUGGCAGCCAGCUUGUGUAUGAUAUAGUCAAGGGUAAAGAUUCACUACAGUUACAGGACCCUCUGUACAAGAACAGAACUGAAAGUUUCCCACAGGAGUAUGAGAGAGGAAACUUCUCCAUCAAACUCACAGAUCUCACUCACACUGAUGCAGGAGAACACAGCUGCCUCAUCACACCCUCAUCUGAACAGAAGACUGUACUGCUGAUCAUCAAAGAAUCAACAGCAGAAAAAGGAACCGCAUCGACUGAACAAGAAAACCAAGGAGAAACAGAACCAGACAGUGUGGAAACAUCAUCGCCUUGGCUCUGGGUUGGCAUUGCAUCUGUAAUUAUAGUUACAGGUAUAGUUAUAGGUUUUAUUGUAGCUUGGCGGAUAA